AGGAAAAGGGACAACUACAUGCAGUCGAGGGGUAACAGAGAGAAGCUUGCUUCUUUGCUGACGACCGGCGAACGGGUGCGUAACGCGUAUAGAAUCUGCCUUGUACAGGAGGAUAGCCUUUAGAAAUGAAGAUUAAUACUCCAUAAUAUUGGGAAGUGGCAUCACUAUCUAAUUAAACAUUUAUGGGUACAAGAUGACUAUGCGUCCUAUUAGCUAGAUGGUAAGGUAACGGCUUACCAUGGCAACGAUAGGUAGGGGGUCUGAGAGGAUUAUCCCCCACACUGGUACUGAGACACGGACCAGACUCCUACGGGAGGCAGCAGUGAGGAAUAUUGGUCAAUGGAGGCAACUCUGAACCAGCCAUGCCGCGUGCAGGAAGACUGCCCUAUGGGUUGUAAACUGCUUUUAUACAGGAAGAAACAGUCGUACGUGUACGGCCUUGACGGUACUGUAAGAAUAAGCACCGGCUAACUCCGUGCCAGCAGCCGCGGUAAUACGGAGGGUGCAAGCGUUAUCCGGAAUCAUUGGGUUUAAAGGGUCCGCAGGCGGUCAAUUAAGUCAGAGGUGAAAUCCCAUAGCUUAACUAUGGAACUGCCUUUGAUACUGGUUGACUUGAGUUAUACGGAAGUAGAUAGAAUAAGUAGUGUAGCGGUGAAAUGCAUAGAUAUUACUUAGAAUACCGAUUGCGAAGGCAGUCUACUACGUAUAUACUGACGCUCAUGGACGAAAGCGUGGGGAGCGAACAGGAUUAGAUACCCUGGUAGUCCACGCCGUAAACGAUGGAUACUAGUUGUUGGGAUUUAUCUCAGUGACUAAGCGAAAGUGAUAAGUAUCCCACCUGGGGAGUACGGUCGCAAGACUGAAACUCAAAGGAAUUGACGGGGGCCCGCACAAGCGGUGGAGCAUGUGGUUUAAUUCGAUGAUACGCGAGGAACCUUACCAGGGCUUAAAUGUAGAGUGACAGGGCUAGAGAUAGCUUUUUCUUCGGACACUUUACAAGGUGCUGCAUGGUUGUCGUCAGCUCGUGCCGUGAGGUGUCAGGUUAAGUCCUAUAACGAGCGCAACCCCUAUCGUUAGUUGCUAACAAGUAAUGUUGAGGACUCUAGCGAGACUGCCGGUGCAAACCGCGAGGAAGGUGGGGAUGACGUCAAUCAUCACGGCCCUUACGUCCUGGGCUAACCACGUGCUACAAGGGAUGGACAAUGAGCAGCCACUAUGCAAAUAGGACCGAAUCUUAAACCAUAUCCCAU
rnacentral:rRNA from 1 species